GACGAACGCUGGCGGCGUGCUUAACACAUGCAAGUCGAACGGUAAGGCCCUUCGGGGUACACGAGUGGCGAACGGGUGAGUAACACGUGGGUGAUCUGCCCUGCACUUCGGGAUAAGCCUGGGAAGCUGGGUCUAAUACCGGAUAGGACCCUGGGAUGCAUGUCCUGGGGUGGAAAGCUUUUGCGGUGUGGGAUGGGCCCGCGGCCUAUCAGCUUGGUGGUGGGGUGAUGGCCUACCGAGGGGACGACGGGUAGCCGGCCUGAGAGGGUGACCGGCCACACUGGGACUGAGAUACGGCCCAGACUCCUACGGGAGGCAGCAGUGGGGAAUAUUGCACAAUGGGCGCAAGCCUGAUGCAGCGACGCCGCGUGAGGGAUGACGGCCUUCGGGUUGUAAACCUCUUUCAGCACCGACGAAGCGCAAGUGACGGUAGGUGCAGAAGAAGGACCGGCCAACUACGUGCCAGCCGCCGCAGUAAUAC
rnacentral:rRNA from 1 species